UACGUAGGGUGCGAGCGUUAAUCGGAAUUACUGGGCGUAAAGGGUGCGCAGGCGGUUCUGCAAGUCAGGCGUGAAAUCCCCGGGCUUAACCUGGGAAUGGCGCUUGAAACUACGGGACUGGAGUAUGGCAGAGGGAGGUGGAAUUCCACGUGUAGCGGUGAAAUUCGUAGAUAUUGGGAGGAACACCGGUGGCGAAAGCGGCUCCCUGGUCCGAUACUGACGCUCAUGUGCGAAAGCGUGGGGAGCAAACAGG
rnacentral:rRNA from 1 species